AUUUGUCCUUUAAUUGAGGUCUGGAAUGAAUGGUUGGAUGAAAAGUAGACUUUCCUUUAUUUUAUAUAUAAAAUUUAAUUUCUGAAUUAAAAAGUUUAGAUGUUGGUAGAGGACGAGAAGACCCUAUAGAGCUUUAUCCUACUUUAAAUAAUUACUCGUUUGGGAAUAAUUAUUUAUUAUUUAGGGUAGGAUUUUGUUGGGGUGACAGAAAAAAUUUAAUAACUUUUUUUACUUAAAUUAUUUAUUUAUAAGCUUUUUGACCCUUUAUUAUGGUUAAUAAGAUUAAGUUACCUUAGGGAUAACAGCGUUAUUAUUUUGGAGAGUUCAUAUUGAUAAAAUAGUUUGCGACCUCGAUGUUGGAUUAAAAUUAGUUUCAGGAGCAGAAUAUUGGUUUACUAGGUCUGUUCGACCUUUAAAUUU
rnacentral:rRNA from 1 species